GGGACAAAGCUUAACGGGACACACACUUUUCACUGUUUGCCCUCUUGCUCCUUUUAAGUUUUGUAACGUGCAUGUAUUAGAAUUAUUCAAACAAUGGUAAAGUAAUCUAAAGAAAAAGGUGGGAGGCCCUCCAGUGAGACACCCGAGUAUCAUCUCUCCCACAGGGAGAGUGUCAUUCACUCUGACGCGUGUGUAUUUUGGAAACUGAAAGUAGAUUUCUGACAGAUGGGUGGUGGUGCCUAGAAGCAGCGGGCUCCACCCUCUUCAUGUGUUAACAGGCCAGGAGGAGAAGCGCCUUGUCAAGGAUGCGCCUUCCCAGCGGACGGAUGCUGUGCAGGAUGCUGCAGUCAGCUUCCUGCCACACACAGGAGUCUGACCUGUGUGACCCUCAGACACUGCGGCUGGACAAGAGGAAGCAGGCGAGUCCCCGCCAGCCCGCCGCCGGUGCCGGUCGCCUGCAGCCACUGAGCGGGCCGCCGGUUGCUUCCUUAAGGACCUCACGGCCAUUCCCUCCCGCUUGCUCCCAACCGCCUUGCAGGACAAACCAAACUCCAAGCUUGAUGACUGUCUAUGUUAUGCCACGUAUUAUUUUGGAUGAUGUUUAUUCUGAACUCUAAGGAUGCUCAUACACAAGAGAACAAUGUAAAAUGUGGAGAUAGCUGUUUACUUACAGGUAUGGAAAAAUUAAAACAAAGAAUUGAGAGCAACAAAAGCUGAAAACACGGUGGCCCAGGGGUGGGAUUAGAGUGUUUAACGCCCUAGACCGCAAGACUGGCAGGUGUCGCCCACAAUGUUGAUAGGGUUGCUCUUUCCCCUCCACCUGUAAAUUCUCUCUCAAAUGUCCUAUAAUUGUUUCACUAAUGUACUGUGGAGGGCAGAGGGGAAGACUCCUUUUUUCCAUGAGGUCAUUUUUAAUUUUAGGUACUCUGUUUUAAGAAAAAAAUUCUAAUAGUCAUCCAACAACCUUUUGGCAUACAGAUGCUCAUUUUACCACCAUGUAUAAUAAGAAACUGGAAAUGACCUAAGUUCCAUAUAGUUCCCAUCAACCUGCGGAGGCGAGAGCUCGUGACCCAGUCCUGACCUGUCAGAGCGGGUCUGUAGGGUUUGCCAGGUGGGAAGGGGGCACAUCUUGAGACAUGCAGAGGCCAGGUGACAUUUUUAUCGUCUGGCUCCUGACACACCUGAAGCCCACCCACUUGUACCCCUAAAGUUUUUAAGUACGUGAGACAAUAAAUCCCUCUUUCUGU